AACGUAGGAGACAAACGUUAUCCGGAGUUACUGGGCGUAAAGGGCGUGUAGGUGGUUUCGUAAGUCUGGCGUGAAAUAUCUCGGCUUAACCGAGGCAGGUCGUCGGAUACUGCGGAACUGGAGGACGGUAGAGGCGUGUGGAAUUCCGGGUGUAGUGGUGAAAUGCGUAGAGAUCCGGAGGAACACCAGUGGCAAAGGCGACACGCUGGGCCGUACCUGACACUGAUGCGCGACAGCAUGGGGAGCAAACAGG
rnacentral:rRNA from 1 species